AGGUGAGUAGCUCAAUUUGGCAGAGCACCGCUCUCCAAAAGCGGGGGUUGGGGGUUCAAGUCCCUCCUCACCUG
rnacentral:tRNA from 1 species